rnacentral:rRNA from 1 species
CCUACGGGGGGCAUCAGUGGGGAAUAUUGGACAAUGGGGGGAACCCUGAUCCAGCCAUGCCGCGUGUGUGAAGAAGGCCCUCGGGUUGUAAAGCACUUUCAGUGAGGAAGAACGCCUGGUGGUUAAUACCCAUCAGGAAAGACAUCACUCACAGAAGAAGCACCGGCUAACUCCGUGCCAGCAGCCGCGGUAAUACGGAGGGUGCGAGCGUUAAUCGGAAUUACUGGGCGUAAAGCGCGCGUAGGUGGCUUGAUAAGCCGGUUGUGAAAGCCCCGGGCUCAACCUGGGAACGGCAUCCGGAACUGUCAAGCUAGAGUGCAGGAGAGGAAGGUAGAAUUCCCGGUGUAGCGGUGAAAUGCGUAGAGAUCGGGAGGAAUACCAGUGGCGAAGGCGGCCUUCUGGACUGAAACUGACACUGAGGUGCGAAAGCGUGGGUAGCAAACAGGAUUAGAUACCCUGGUAGUC